rnacentral:misc_RNA from 1 species
UCGAGGCGGUCUCUAUGUUCCACCACGUUGAUGCUACUGUUUCAAUGUUGUGGCCCAUUGAGCGUUGCUUGGUUUCGUGGAUACAGAACAUGAUUUGGGCAUAGGGUUACUUGUGACUCUUGUUCUGUCCUUUAUCAGUGUUCUUUAUAACGACGGUUCAUGCGCGCCUAGGCUCGUACCUGCGCGAUGUUCUUUGUCGAAGAGGAAUGCUACCUGGUUGAUCCUGCCAGUAGUCAUAUGCUUGUCUCAAAGAUUAAGCCAUGCAUGUGUAAGU